AUUGAACGCUGGCGGCAGGCCUAACACAUGCAAGUCGAACGAGUGGCGGACGGGUGAGUAAUGUCUGGGAAACUGCCUGAUGGAGGGGGAUAACUACUGGAAACGGUGGCUAAUACCGCAUACCAUCGGAUGUGCCCAUAUGGGAUUAGCUAGUAGGUGGGGUAAAGGCUCACCUAGGCGACGAUCCCUAGCUGGUCUGAGAGGAUGACCAGACACACUGGAAAUGAGACACGGUCCAGACUCCUACGGGAGGCAGCAGUGGGGAAUAUUGCACAAUGGGCGCAAGCCUGAUACAGCCAUGCCGCGUGUAUGAAGAAGGCCUUCGGGUUGUAAAGUACUUUCAGCGGGGAGGCGUUACCCGCAGAAGAAGCACCGGCUAACUCCGUGCCAGCAGCCGCGGUAAUAC
rnacentral:rRNA from 1 species